rnacentral:rRNA from 1 species
GACGAACCGUGCGAACGUUGUUCGGAUUCACUGGGCUUAAAGGGCGCGUAGGCGGCCUGCUAAGUCGGAUGUGAAAUCCCUCGGCUCAACCGAGGAACUGCAUCCGAUACUGGCGGGCUUGAAUCCGGGAGAGGGAUGUGGAAUUCCAGGUGUAGCGGUGAAAUGCGCAGAUAUCAGGAGGAACACCGGUGGCGAAGGCGGAUCUCUGGGCCAUUACUGACGCUGAGGAGCGAAAGCGUGGGGAGCGAACAGG